AUAAAGCCCAAAAAGUAAUAAUUAAUUAAUAAUUCCAAAGAGGGCGCUUAAUAACCUGCAUGUGUGCGUACAAAUCUGUCAUGCAUCUUACUUGUGCCGCUCAACCAUUGUAGUAUAUAUACCAAUCUUACUUCACUGCAUUGUCUGCCUCUGUCUAUUAAUUUUGCCUUCUAAUUUAGUUAGAACCAAACUAUUGAUCAUCACAAGACCUACGUCUGUUUCUGUUGAGAAAAAAACAGAGUCCCCCUUGCCACCACCAAAUCCACCGUUCUUGCUUUUUCCAUUAUAUACAUAUAUACACCAUUAAGAAGAUCGAGGAGGCCACCAGCUUUGAAUAUCUCCAAACCCAUAUAUUUCCCAUGGAAAUCUAAGCUUGAAAGCAACCCCACUAGUUCACUCGAAUGGUCCAGCUUCCAAACAACUCCGCCCCAGGUGGGAAUUUUCAAUCUCGGGUCACCUUCUCCUCAAGAACCCCCUUUUCUUCCACCAGCAUCUUUUCCUGCAUGCGCACAAAGGAAUCAAGUAAGUACCCCUAGAAUCAAGAGGUAAUACAUCAUAUUUCGCACUCUGCCAUAUUAUUUUUGCACUUGUCUAAUAUUUUUUUUAUGUCAUUAUCUCAUCUGAUACAACACUCAUUUGGAUAAUCAAAAUGCACUACCGCUUGGGUUGCAUGGAUGUUGCAUUAAUAGCCUUUUAUCUUAUUUUACAUGCUGUCCUUUUAACGUUUUAGCUAUCAUUUCCUCUUCUAAGAAGAGUUUGCUACAUUAAGAUACUUUCUGAAUUUGAUAAAAAGGGUUCAUAACUUUCGAGGUGGUAGUAGUAGUUUCAGGCAAGCUUCUCUGGUCUUCUUUACCACAACCUGAUUAUUUCAGAAUCAGGUUAUAGAGCCAAGGAAAUUUUAACCAAUCAAAAAACUUGUGGACAAGCCAAGAUUGAGGAACACAUCUACUCCUUUGCAGCAGUUCCUGAGACAUUAGGAUACUAAAGCAAAAUACAACUUGUGGCAUCAAUCCUUCAAAAA